rnacentral:rRNA from 1 species
CCUACGGGGGGCAGCAGUGGGGAAUAUUGGACAAUGGGGGGAACCCUGAUCCAGCCAUGCCGCGUGUGUGAAGAAGGCCCUCGGGUUGUAAAGCACUUUCAGUGAGGAAGAACGCCUGGUGGUUUAUACCCAUCAGGAAAGACAUCACUCACAGAAGAAGCACCGGCUAACUCCGUGCCAGCAGCCGCGGUAAUACGGAGGGUGCGAGCGUUAAUCGGAAUUACUGGGCGUAAAGCGCGCGUAGGUGGCUUGAUAAGCCGGUUGUGAAAGCCCCGGGCUCAACCUGGGAACGGCAUCCGGAACUGUCAAGCUAGAGUGCAGGAGAGGAAGGUAGAAUUCCCGGUGUAGCGGUGAAAUGCGUAGAGAUCGGGAGGAAUACCAGUGGCGAAGGCGGCCUUCUGGACUGACACUGACACUGAGGUGCGAAAGCGUGGGUAGCAAACAGGAUUAGAUACCCUUGUAGUC